UUACUAUAUACGACAUACACGCACCUCUAUACAUGUAUACAAGUAUUCACUCACACACACUUGCUAAUUUCCACACCUCAGAGUUUUUUUUUUUCUUUUCAAGUUCCUUUUCUACAACUAAAAGCGUUUUUUUCCUCAUAAAUUUCCAUAAUUAAUGAUCAUUUGUUCUUUUGACUACUUGUAAUAUGAAUUUAUGGAUUCAUGCAUGUUUGUGUACAUAAUUUACAACUUUACAUGCAUGCAUUUCGUGUAUGGUAAGAUACACCAAUUUGAACACGUCCAUUAUAUAUUCGGUUUUCAUUAGUAUACAGAUGUAUGUGCGUGUGCGUGUGUGUGUAUAUAGAUAGUAGUACUAGGUCAUCCUGCAGCUUCAGUCACUAAAUCACCAACAAUUUAGCCAGAAACGAUAAAGUUAACUUCAUGAUAAAGUCAAUCCGGCCGCGUUUAACUUUGACGAUCUCCUCUAUCAUCGAAGGUUGUGCCAUAACCAACGACCGACAUUGAGAUUUCUACAUUGAUAAGCAAUUCUAGUUUGUUUCGAAGAUCUUUCAUUUGAAGGACGCGCGCGUGAUAUGGAUUGUACUAAGAUCAUGAAGAUUAUUCUUCCUCAUACUUUCAAAUUAAAAUUGUAAUUUAGUUCAUAGCUAGUUUCUGAUGUUUUUAAAUCAUUUGUUACAAUUAGGGGUUUGUACAAACAAACAGUACUGGUUUCCAUAGACAAGUACUUUAAAAAAAUUUCCCAAAGUGGUCAUAUAUACAAUGUGUUUGAGAUUAAAAAUAUAAAGAUUUUUGGAAUCUGUAGA